rnacentral:rRNA from 1 species
UACGUAGGGGGCUAGCGUUAUCCGGAAUUACUGGGCGUAAAGGGUGCGUAGGCGGUCUUUCAAGCCAGAAGUGUAAGGCUACGGCUCAACCGUAGUAAGCUUUUGGAACUGUAAGACUUGAGUGCAGGAGAGGAGAGUGGAAUUCCUAGUGUAGCGGUGAAAUGCGUAGAUAUUAGGAGGAACACCAGUAGCGAAGGCGGCUCUCUGGACUGUAACUGACGCUGAGGCACGAAAGCGUGGGGAGCAAACAGGAUUAGAUACCCUGGUAGUCCCU